GCCGUCGCCAAAAUCUAGUUUCUGCAUCUUCAUCCACUAAGAGGAGUGAUUUAGGGUCAAUUUUUGAUCUAAAAUCAUCCCUCUAACUUGUUUUUUUUUUUCUAUUUCCCUUUUAUUGAAAUAAGUGAUUUUCACAUCUAUUUCGUUUUUGCUUUUGUGAUUUCGCCGUCUUAGUGCGACGUUGUUUUGUUCGUCGUCUUUGUGCGACGUUGUUUGUCUUUCUUGUUUUGUUCGGUUCAGAUUGUCAAAUCAGCAUCGAUCCAGUGCAUAUCAAAUCAAUGACUUUUGAGUCAUCAACGUUGCAGAUCCGGAGACAAAGGUAUUCCGGAGACAUAAAUAUAGUCAUAUGUGUAGGCUUUAAUACUUUGUCGUUUUAUGCUAUUAACAUGGAUGAUGUGAGUUUGUUCACAGAUUCAUCUUUUUCGUUUUUAGCGAAUUUUCAUUGUAUAGAUGAACUAUAUCAAUUUGAUUUUGAAUGAAUAAAUAUCAUCUAUUUUUG
rnacentral:lncRNA from 1 species